CAGAACAAAGCUGCUAAUGAAAGCAAAAUGAAGAACCAGGCAGAUCAUUUUGCUUUAUCAAGUCUUGGAAAGCACGUAGGCUACAACUGUCCACAGAAUCAGAGAGAGUAUGAAUUCCCCUCUCACUCCAAGCUGGAAAAUAUAUUUGCUGGUCACCCAAGAGGAGACUGUGAUUAUUAAACAAUGUAAAAUGGGGGUGAUGAUUAAUAAUAUACAGUAUUUGCAAUGACUCCCCAUUUAACACCAUAUUGUAAGCAUUUGCGUGAUGACAGGGCUGAAGGUGAGCAUUGGCUUUUUUUGAUAGAGAUCAUGGAGCCUGUAAGAUUAGUGAAGGUGCUGGAGGCAAAAUGCAAUGCUGAAAAAGCGGGAAAAAGUUUCUGCACACUUCCAAUCAGAUGCAAAUGUAAUUUAAUAGUAGCUGAGCUUUCGCCCAGUCAACCUUCAUCAGAGCCCAACAUAGGAAAGACUAGGAGUGAGGGGAAAAUGUAUCUGCAAGGAGGAGUUAGAGGGCCUGUCACACUGUGAUCUGAUUCACCUUGUGAUUGUCUCCAGCACCUCCCGGUGUCGCUUAUUUUCCCCAGUGUAUUUAUCCAUGUGUUUCCUGUCUCUCUGUGCCAGUUUGUCUUGUAUGUUUUUCAUGUCAACCAGAGUGUUUUCCUGUACUCCUGCUUCUAUUCUCUUUUUGCUAGUCCUCCCGGUUUUGACCGUUGCCUGUUUUCUGGACUUCGCACCUGCCUGCCUGACCGUUCUGCCUGCCUGCUGCUCUGUACCUCCUGGACUCUGGUUUUAACCUUUUGCCUGUCCUCGACCAUUCUCUUGCCUACCCCUUUUGGAUUGUUUAGUAAAUAUCAAAGAUAUCUGCCUCCCGUGUCUGCAUCUGGGUCUCGCCUUGUGCAUUUAUAGGGCCAACCUAUUGCAAUGAAAUACAAUACCGUACAAAAACCCAAAGUGACGGUCUACUCAGAGUCCAACCCUGAGUCGAAGGUGAACACCCUGCUAUGUCUGGCUGGAGACAUGUUUCCAGACUUGGUCAAGAUCUCAUGGAAGCUGGAGGAUGAAAACGGCAAAGCAGUCGAGGUGCCUAAAGCAGAGGGGGAACAGCUGGAGCAGAGGGAGGAAGGACAGACGACCAGUAUGAUCAUCAUUGAUAAUGAGAAGAUUUACAGAAACAAAUACAUCUGUUCUGUGGAGCAUGAAGGGGGCCCUCAAGAUGUUUUCAUGCUAAAAGAUAAACCAACUGAAGCUCCGCGAACCACCGUGGCUGCACCAACCUGUCUGUUCAGAAAUGACACGCAGCAGUCACAGACUCUACAUCUUGCCGACGAAUCCUUCCAGUCAACAUUUAGUCUGAACCUGGCCUCUCUGGUUUAUACAGUGAUGAUAGGGAAGAGCAUGGUGUACUGCUGUGGGCUCUCUAUCCUGCUGCACCACAGGAGCUUGGGAAGAGGACCCAGCACCUGUAGACACAUUCAUUGAAAGGAGACCACCCAUGUAUGGGUAGAAUUGUAGUGGGCGGUAAACAACAUGGACUUUACAUCCCAUUGAGGUCUAACAUUUCAUUUGUAUUGCUUUUAUUUUUCCUGCUUUAUUUUUUAGAUGCUACAAUAUUGUGAGCCAUAGUUUUCCAUGUCUUCUAAUAGCUUCAACUGCCAAAUAUGACAAUUGCAGCACAUUUAAUUUUGUAUAUGGAGUAAUGUUACCCUCUUUAUGUGGGAGCUACCCACUGCAGACACAUGAAUAAAGGUUUUCUGGAAAAUAAGCAGAGCAAAUCUUGAAUGUAAAUAAAUUAUGAUUUUAAUUUAGAUUUGGUAAAGUUGCCCUGCAAUAUGUCAGAGGUAGUCCUAAAUUAUACUCACAACUUGUAUUUAAUUUAUACAAAACAUUUACCUAAAUAUGUAGGCCCAUGAGUUCUAAACCAAUAUAAUAUGUUGUAACUUGUCUUGUAUUGAAGUGUAAUUUUUCUCAAGAAAUUAGUUUUUCUAACAUAGUAUUUCACAUCUUAAUUAAUGAAUGGGAGAAUCAAUUGUUGCUUUAAAUAUCUAAAUGCUGAGUGCUUAUUGAGCAUAAAAAUUGGGCUAUGCGCAAAAUCAUUUAUUGGUGCUUUUUUACAUUUAAUACAAUGUUUUUUUAAUGCAGCUUUUAUGAAGAGUAACACAGCCUGCUCAAAUGAACCACGUUGCUCAAAAUAAUAAUAUCCUUUCAGAUGAGGAUGGAUUUAAUAAACGCUGCCUUUGAGAAUGAAAAGUCACAACAAUGGUUCUGCAAAUUAUUGUAAAUAACUUUUUUUAAGUUCCUUGCUGCUUUGUAUGAAUAAAGGCUACCUAAUC